rnacentral:lncRNA from 1 species
AUACCAUAAGAGGAAUUCUGGACUGAAGAGUUAUGAAGUCAUUUCAGACACUUCCAGACAAUUUGUGUUAAUUAAAUUCUCACUGGUUGAGUUCCAUUCUACACUGGAAGAGCAUUUUUCCUGGAAAGGCUCCUCAAAAUGGCCUCCCAGCCUCAGGACCUCUCUUUUGGUUGCCUGCUCUGCUACAAAGCUGGAGAUCUAAAGUGGAGGCGUGUAGAAGACACCGUCUGGCUGGACACCAUCAAGAGUCACCUCCUCAGUGAAGCCUUCCAUGGUUUCAUACCACCCAUCCCUAUCGGAAUGAAUGUAUCCUUGUUCUCCGUUAUCCCAGUAUUUUGCCUGGGCUUCUGUCACACUACUUUCAAUGUCUAUACCUCAGUUAUCGAAUCGAAAAACAAGAGUCAUCAGUCUCUAAGGUCCUUGCAAGCUUCAAAACUUUAUAUUUUUGUCAAUUACAACUGAAUAAAGCUGAACAACUUAUUAUUUAUGG